GUGAGUGUGAAUUUCUAAUAUGUCAAAGUUUCAAAGCAAAUGUGCGACGUUUAUUACGCGUUUGUACCUGUAAGGUUACACUGAGAGGGGGACAGGGGAGAAGAGAAAAGUGCAGCAACCAGCCCGGUUAAAGUCAUGACUCUUUGAGGGCUGAGAAACUCUGGGGAAGUUUGAAUUUACAGUUGCGAGUGUUGUUAUUAUAAACACAGAAAAUGUCACAUACGGGGAUGCUGUGCGACCAAUAAGCAUCCAGUAGGUUUUAUUUUGGCACUGCGCAUGGCUACAGUCAAUAUGGAAACAUUACGCAGAGUAUUACCGAACAUAUUGCGGGCACGUCAGAUUAGCACGCCGCCAGGGCAACAGCCUGGAGAUUUAGAACACAACUGCAGCACAGGAAGCGCAUGCCAUAACUUUACGACUGCGAGCCAGACAGUAAACAAACCGGACAGGAACCAAUGGGAGCUCAAGAUCAUCGCUGUGACAUUCGGAAAGGGCUGAAAACUGAGCACCGUGGUCCCGCCCACCAUUGACUUUGUUCAGCGGGCUGCUGGAAGAGGAGGGCACACUUGUCUGUUCAGGACAAAGUUCAGGAGCUACAUGGCAUUCUGCACUCAACAAACUCGCUUUCUUUUGUGUUCUGUGUAACAGAAAUAAAGUCAGUUGACCUAUAA